UACGUAGGGCGCAAGCGUUGUCCGGAAUUAUUGGGCGUAAAGAGCUCGUAGGCGGCCAGUUGCGUCUGCUGUGAAAUCCCGGGGCUCAACCCCGGGCGUGCAGUGGAUACGGGCUGGCUAGAGGCAGGCAGGGGAGAACGGAAUUCCUGGUGUAGCGGUGAAAUGCGCAGAUAUCAGGAGGAACACCGGUGGCGAAGGCGGGACUCUGGGCCGAUAUUGACGCUGAGGAGCGAAAGCGUGGGGAGCAAACAGG
rnacentral:rRNA from 1 species